rnacentral:rRNA from 1 species
AUUGAACGCUGGCGGCAUGCUUUACACAUGCAAGUCGAACGGCAGCACGGGUGCUUGCACCUGGUGGCGAGUGGCGAACGGGUGAGUAAUGCAUCGGAACGUAUCCAAUAAUGGGGGAUAACGCACCGAAAGGUGUGCUAAUACCGCAUACGCCCUGAGGGGGAAAGUGGGGGACCGUAAGGCCUCACGUUAAUGGAGCGGCUGAUGCCUGAUUAGCUAGUUGGUGAGGUAAAGGCUCACCAAGGCGACGAUCAGUAGCUGGUCUGAGAGGACGACCAGCCACACUGGGACUGAGACACGGCCCAGACUCCUACGGGAGGCAGCAGUGGGGAAUUUUGGACAAUGGGCGCAAGCCUGAUCCAGCCAUGCCGCGUGAGUGAAGAAGGCCUUCGGGUUGUAAAGCUCUUUCGCAAGGAAAGAAAACUUAUCCCCUAAUACGGGAUGAGGAUGACGGUACCUUGAUAAGAAGCACCGGCUAACUACGUGCCAGCCGCCGCGGUAA